rnacentral:rRNA from 1 species
AUUGAACGCUGGCGGCAUGCUUUACACAUGCAAGUCGAACGGCAGCGCGGGCUUCGGCCUGGCGGCGAGUGGCGCACGGGUGAGUAAUGCAUCGGAACGUGCCCAGUAGUGGGGGAUAGCCCGGCGAAAGCCGGAUUAAUACCGCAUACGACCUGCGGGUGCAAGCGGGGGACCGAAAGGCCUCGCGCUCUUGGAGCGGCCGAUGUCGGAUUAGCUAGUUGGUGGGGUAAAGGCUUACCAAGGCGACGAUCCGUAGCUGGUCUGAGAGGACGACCAGCCACACUGGGACUGGGACACGGCCCAGACGCCUACGGGAGGCAGCAGUGGGGAAUGUUGGACAAUGGGGGCAACCCUGAUCCAGCGAUGCCGCGUGCGGGAAGAAGGCCUUCGGGUUGUAAACCGCUUUUGUUCGGGAAGAAAUCCUCUGGGCUAAUACCCCGGGGGGAUGACGGUACCGGAAGAAUAAGCACCGGCUAACUACGUG